rnacentral:rRNA from 1 species
GCUAAAAACCUAGCUCAACUUUACGCAAAUACCACAACCAAACAACUGUAACUAAACAAAACAUUUUUAAAUUUUUAGUAAAGGCGAUUGAAAAAUAUCUAGAAGCUAUAACAAUAGUACCGCAAGGGAAAAGUGAAAUAAAAAUGAAAUAACUUUAAAGCAAAGCUAAGCAGAGAUUUAACCUCGUACCUUUUGCAUCAUGGUCUAGCUAGUUUAACCAAGCAAAGCGAAAUUAUAGUUUGACACCCCGAAACUAGGUGAGCUACUUCAAAACAGCCUUCAAGGGCCAACCCGUCUCUGUUGCAAAAGAGUGGGAAGAUUUUCAAGUAGAGGUGAUAGACCUACCGAACCUAGAGAUAGCUGGUUAUUCAGGAAAAGGAUCUAAGUCCUACCUUAAGUUUUUCUAUACUACAAAAUAUACCCAUAAACUUAAGAGCUAUUCAAAUAAGGUACAGCCUAUUUGAAACAGGAAACAACCUAAAACACAGGGUAAUGAUAUUCUAAAUGUGACCAAGUGGGCCUAAAAGCAGCCAACUUUUAAAUAGCGUUAAAGCUUCAUCACUUCAUUUAACAAAUAACCAUAACACCACAAAACCCUUUACCACUACUGAAUGACUCCAUAAUUGUAUGGAGAACACUAUGCUAGAACUAGUAACAAGAAGAAGACCUUCUCCAAAAUGUAAGUGUAAGCCAAAAUGAACAUCUCACUGGCACUUAUCGUCUCUGAACUUACGGUAGCAACUUCACAAGAAAAUACUACCACACAAAACGUUAACCUUACACCAGAACAUUACCGGAAAGAUUAAAAGAAGAGGAAGGAACUCGGCAAAUUUUAACCCCGCCUGUUUACCAAAAACAUCGCCUCCUGAAAUAACUAUAGGAGGUCCAGCCUGCCCAGUGACAAAGUUAAACGGCCGCGGUACCCUAACCGUGCGAAGGUAGCGCAAUCACUUGUUCUUUAAAUGAGGACUAGUAUGAAUGGCAUCACGAGGGUUAUACUGUCUCCCUCUUUCAAUCAGUGAAACUGAUCUUCCCGUGAAGAAGCGGGAAUACAUCUAUAAGACGAGAAGACCCCAUGGAGCUUAAAACUCAGUAUCAACUACUAUACUAAUUUAUCCUCUUAAUUAAGCAGAUCUGACUACUAGUUUUCGGUUGGGGUGACCGCGGAGCAAAACAAAACCUCCACGAUGAAAGGAACUAACCUCCUAAUCAAAGAGCUACCUCUCUAAGAAUCAACAAAUUGACAUUUAUUGAUCCAACUUUUUUGAUCAACGAACCAAGUUACCCUGGGGAUAACAGCGCAAUCCAUUUCAAGAGCCCCUAUCGACAAAUGGGUUUACGACCUCGAUGUUGGAUCAGGGUAUCCCAGUGGUGCAGCCGCUACUAAAGGUUCGUUUGUUCAACGAUUAAAACCCU